rnacentral:rRNA from 1 species
UGAACGCUAGCGACAGGCUUAACACAUAGCAAGUCGAGGGGUAACAGGGUAGCAAUACCGCUGACGACCGGCGCACGGGUGAGUAACGCGUAUGCAACCUGCCUAUAACUGGGGAAUAGCUCCCUGAAAGGGGAAUUAACACCGCAUAACACUAUUGAUUCGCAUGGAUUGGUAGUUAAAUGUAGCGAUACAGGUUAUAGAUGGGCAUGCGUGACAUUAGCUAGUUGGUGAGGUAACGGCUCACCAAGGCUACGAUGUCUAGGGGUUCUGAGAGGAAGGUCCCCCACACUGGUACUGAGACACGGACCAGACUCCUACGGGAGGCAGCAGUGAGGAAUAUUGGUCAAUGGGCGCAAGCCUGAACCAGCCAUGUCGCGUGCAGGAAGACUGCCCUAUGGGUUGUAAACUGCUUUUAUAGUAGAAGAAACACAUCUACGCGUAGAUGUCUGCCAGUAUACUAUGAAUAAGCAUCGGCUAACUCCGUGCCAGCCGCAGC